rfam:Alicyclobacillus acidocaldarius subsp. acidocaldarius DSM 446, complete genome.
UCCAUCGCGAGGUGGAAUCUGAAGGAAGCCGGAGGCAAAGCCCCGACCUGAGGACCACGAACCCAAGGUGAGGCCGCUGCAUUCGGGCGACAAAACCCCAUACAGCCAAGGGAUGCAGGAGUAAAUUGGGCAGGUACAUGGGGCGAAAGCGACCGUU